rnacentral:lncRNA from 1 species
CCUAUCUCUCCUCAGCUUCAAUUUGUUUCCCUGACUGAGAUUGUUCAGGAAGCUCCUUCGAAUCCCUCUGUGCUGUAACCUUUUUUUGGGAGUGGUCAGUCGUUGAUCCACUUUCACUUUCUUUUCUUUUGGGAGACAUGUUUACCUACAAACAACAAAAAAACAAAAAUUACAUUGCAAUUGAUGUAUGCAUAAAUUUUAAAAAAUACAUUACAAACACC